CCAAUAGCGUAUAUUAAAGUUGUUGCAGUUAAAAAGCUCGUAGUUGAAUUUCGGGAUCAAGGGAUCGGUCAUGCCUUGGUAUGUACUGGUCUUAUUGGUUCUCACCUUCUAAAGAACCAUGAUGUCAUUUAUUUGAUGUUAUGGGGAAUUAGGACUGUUACCUUGAAAAAAUUAGAGUGUUUAAAGCAAGCUUACGCUUG
rnacentral:rRNA from 1 species